rnacentral:rRNA from 1 species
UAGGGAAUUUUCCACAAUGGGGGCAACCCUGAUGGAGCAACGCCGCGUGCAGGAUGAAGGCUUUCGGGUCGUAAACUGCUUUUAUGUGAGAAGAAUAUGACGGUAACACAUGAAUAAGGAUCGGCUAACUCCGUGCCAGCAGCCGCGGUCAUACGGAGGAUCCAAGCGUUAUCCGGAAUUACUGGGCGUAAAGAGUUGCGUAGGUGGCUUGUUAAGCGGUGUGUGAAAUCUUGUGGCUCAACCAUAAGGCUAUGCACUGAACUGACAAGCUAGAGUAUGAGAGAGGUUAUUGGAAUUCCCAGUGUAGGAGUGAAAUCCGUAGAUAUUGGGAGGAACACCGAUGGCGUAGGCAGAUAACUGGCUCAUUACUGACACUAAGGCACGAAAGCGUGGGGAGCAA